rnacentral:tRNA from 1 species
GCCCGGAUGGCGGAAUUGGUAGACGCGCUAGCUUCAGGAGCUAGUUGGUGCAAACCAGUGGGGGUUCGAGUCCCCCUUCGGGCA